CGUCCAGAGUUUUUCAUCUUUUUAGCUGCUGUUGUACUGCCCAUUCUGGUGGUAAUAGCAGUCCUGAUCUCCCUGAGCUUCAAAAUCAAAAGAAGGAAACAGGAAAGAGAAAGGGAAAUGGAAGAAGAGGGAAACAACACUAUUGUGUAUGCCACCAUCGAUAAAGCAGCAACAAGGACAACAACGCAGUUGCAGGAAAGGGAAGCAGAUGUGUGCUAUGCUACUGUGAAAGCUAAAUUACCGAAGAAACAGACUACUGUAGUUGAGCUGAAUCUAAAGUCAGAGUACGCUACUGUGAAGAUGCACUGAGAGACAACAAAGCUGAGGAAAUAUCAGAGAAAGGAUUUCUGAUUUCAAUAAAGACUUAUGAUAGACCUUGAUUGACUGGAGCAAUUUCUAUAUGUAUUAAUAAUUUACUGAUGAAUAUCUAAGCCUUUGAUUGUUUUUAUGAUAUGGACAAAAUUAAUAGGUUUCUUCUUUUUGGAAAUUAUUUAAAA